rnacentral:rRNA from 1 species
AACGUAGGAGACAAACGUUAUCCGGAGUUACUGGGCGUAAAGGGCGUGUAGGUGGUAAUGUAAGUCUGGCGUGAAAUUUUUCGGCUUAACCGGGAAAGGUCGUCGGGAUACUGCAUGACUAGAGGACGGUAGAGGCGUGUGGAAUUCCGGGUGUAGUGGUGAAAUGCGUAGAGAUCCGGAGGAACACCAGUGGCGAAGGCGACACGCUGGGCCGUACCUGACACUGAACCGCGACAGCAUGGGGAGCAAACAGG